CACAGCUUCAGAGUCUCCAACAAGGUGUCUAGCUCCAUCAGAUUCAGAUUCAGGUUACACAGCAUUGUCCUUCCAGUCAUUCACAGCUUCAGAUUCUCCGAAUAAGGUGUCCAGUUCCAUCAGGUUCAUUGUUUACUGCC